rnacentral:rRNA from 1 species
GUGGGGGAUAUUGCACAAUGGGGGAAACCCUGAUGCAGCGACGCCGCGUGAAGGAAGACGUACUUCGGUAUGUAAACUUCUAUCAGCAGGGAAGAAGAUGACGGUACCUGACUAAGAAGCCCCGGCUAACUACGUGCCAGCAGCCGCGGUAAUACGUAGGGGGCAAGCGUUAUCCGGAUUUACUGGGUGUAAAGGGAGCGUAGACGGUGAAGCAAGUCUGAUGUGAAAACCCGGGGCUCAACUCCGGGAUUGCAUUGGAAACUGUUUUACUUGAGUGCUGGAGGGGCAAGCGGAAUUCCUGGUGUAGCGGUGAAAUGCGUAGAUAUCAGGAAGAACACCGGUGGCGAAGGCGGCUUGCUGGACAGUAACUGACGUUGAGGCUCGAAAGCGUGGGGAGCAAACAGGAUUAGAUACCCGAGUAGUCC